CACCUGAGAAUGGAUUUGGUGAAUUGUUUUAUAAAAUGUGACAUUGAUUUGUCCUUGAUUGGUGCUACUUGUGGUUAGGGGUCAGUGGUAUCUCAUCAUGGGAUAAUAUAGGAAAUGUCGGAUUUAAAUAAUUGGGGCUUCGAGUUGUUGACUGCUUUUUAAAGUUUGUGUAGUUGGCAAUGUUGGAAAUAGAUCAUUUCCCUGUUGUGAUAGAGUUUGCUAUAUGAACCUUGAAUUCUUGACAAUAAUUGACAUGAUGUCUACUUUCUGUUAAAGUUAAAUUCUACUUUUGGCUAUACAUAUUGCUGAAUUGGAGUGUUGCAGUUGUAGGAACUUUCAGGAUUUUGUCCCACUUUUGAAGUUGUUUGAGUUUCUAUUUCAAGUUUGUCUUUAACUCAAAAACUCGACUGAAUGGAUAAGUCGUUAGUUUGUCUUCAGCGCUAUUAUUCCCCAUUUUUCAGUUUGGAAAUGGUUAGCAGAGCUUGUUCUAGUGUUUUAACUAUUGUGUUGACAGGAACAUUGUGUUUUCUGUUUGUAAAGUUAUAGAUAUUCCGAAAUUCCUUACAUAACCAAGCCUAAUUCACCUCCCGAGACGAGACAGAGGACGGGUUGAUCUUUUAACAAAGCUGUCCUAAUCACAAUUCUGUAGUUUGGGUUAUGCUUGUCAUAUUGUACAUUCUGGUCACUUGUCCAGUUCAAGAAAGCAGCUCAUCCUUCAUUCUUUCCUUCUUCAGUUUUUGUAGUUAUUCUCUUGUCUAUUGCAAGGAUCUAAGAAAGGCCCUUAUGGCUUGUAGUGACA